GAUCAGCUUCUUGUCUGGAUCUCGUUACCCACGGUCCCAGCCAAUCGGCAAAUCGUCCUGCCAUCUUGCUAGAUCGAACACCAAGCCGGCUUUCAACUCACCUGGAUCUGAUUACUCGAUGAUUUUCCGGGCCCUUUCCGUCGGUACAG
rnacentral:sRNA from 1 species